rnacentral:rRNA from 1 species
UACGUAGGGUGCAAGCGUUAAUCGGAAUUACUGGGCGUAAAGCGUGCGCAGGCGGUUGUGUAAGACAGAUGUGAAAUCCCCGGGCUUAACCUGGGAACUGCAUUUGUGACUGGCAGGCUAGAGUAUGGCAGAGGGGGGUAGAAUUCCACGUGUAGCAGUGAAAUGCGUAGAGAUGUGGAGGAAUACCGAUGGCGAAGGCAGCCCCCUGGGCCAAUACUGACGCUCAUGCACGAAAGCGUGGGGAGCAAACAGG